rnacentral:tRNA from 1 species
AGGUGCUUAGUUUAAUAAAAACAUUUGAUUUCGGCUCAAAAAUAUAUGGUUCAAGUCCAUAAUUACCUA